rnacentral:lncRNA from 1 species
UGAAACUGAACCUCCAAUAUCUGACCAUACAUAAUUUGAGAUUGUGAAGUAGGAGACAUAAUUCUUGGUCGCAAAUUGUCAAAGCCAGGUUCUAAAUAUGAAGGAGAAAAGGCUUCCACACUUAGCUCUGUUGGAAAUAUCACGUUAGUGAAAUUGUAAUAGACGUUGGGAUUGCUUCCAGCAACUAGUACCUGUUGAAAAAGUUCAAUUUUAGGAUUGAAGACAAGAGAAAAUAAUAUUUACAAUAUUUAAUCUCUAAAUAUAAUAAAAUUAGAUUUUAAGAAAGGCUGCACUAGUUAAGAUUCAGCACUGCAUAAAAAAAGUGAAGAUUCAGUGAUAAAGUUUGUUUUAAUGUAUGGUAAUGGGUCACAUGGUUAAAUAAGCAAGUUUUUCAUGAGGUAACAAUGUGUUUCUUAUAGUUUUUCUAUAAAAACUUAUUUCUUCUAAAACCCUGAACAUUAGUUCACAUCACAAAAGUCCUUAAUUUCUUAAUAUAGAACCAAUGUUAAUUUGACUUUUUCUAAAAAAAACUUCACAUCGACAAUGUUUUAUGUACAUUAAAGAUGACAUCUUUGUAGCACUCAUUUAUGUUUAUACCACAACUUUAUGCUAUAAUCCUAAAACGUGAUAGGAAUAUAUCCUUGUUGGGUAUAUGAAUAUCAAAAUAAGAGUGUUGUUUUAACCUACCCUUCCAUCACGAACCAAAACAGCUGUAGAGUGGUACAUUCUAGGGAUGCUAGAUGGGUUUUGCAACUCAAACCGUGACCCCAGUGGACUAUUUGUUUUAUAAAUAAUCGGGUUUAAAGUCGGGUUCCGCCCGAAUGUCCAUCCAGCUGUACCUGAACCUGCACCAUUAACAAUUAAAACAUUACCAUUAGGAAGCAUCACCAUAUCACUCAUAACUCUACCACCCGGCAUAGUCUCCAUAACCCAAUUUGGGUUCUGAUCAGUUACUUUAACCCUAGCACAAGUAUUCAACGCUCCAAUAAAAUGACCCUUUGAGGCUUGUUCAUAAGAUCCUUUUGGAGCUCCACCACAAACCAAAACCUCAGCUUCCAAAAUUGCACCUUGCAAAUUCCUUAAUGGUAAUAACACAGCUGAACCAGAACUUGGAUAAGACCUAGGAUCACCACCUGGAAUCUGAGGGAAUGUUUUGACGACAACAUUGUUAGUAUAGUUGAAUAAGAUUGCUUUGUUGUUUGCGAAGAUGAAAAGAUUGCCAUCCACGUUUAAGAAAACAAAAGGGUAUAGGUUGUUUUCUGUUCUAGGUUCACUUGUUUGAACCAAAAAGGGUAAACUAUAAGUGUUUUUGGCUGUGGCUUCAGUUUUGGGGUAAAACUCGUAGUUGAAUUGUCUUCUUCCGCCGAUUAUUAUUUGACCACCGUCCGGUAGCUUGUGAUUGGUGGCGUACCUAGAAGAAAAAUGUGAAGAGAUCAUAGUUGUAAAGUAGAGGGAGAGAGGGUAAAUAACAAACUUUAUAGAUAUUAUUUGAUAUAAGACAAAAUUAUAAAUAGGUAGACGAGUUCAUAUACUCAAAAUUAGUUGGUUUUGAGUGAUGGGCUUGAGCUAUUCUUACAAAACACUUUCAGCCAAAAAUAUUAAUUUAUGGAUCUACGUUGUUCACUUUGGAUAAAAUGAGAUGAUUGACUGUUGUAUAAAAUGAAAUGAUUAAAUAAGUGACAAACAAAUAUAUAAUUUAUUACCAUAAGAUUUUGGUUAAAAAUCUUAUGUUUCACUUAUUGACUCUAUCCUUCCCACAACCCUGAAAUCCUAUAGUAGUGAUUGGAGUCUCCCAUUACAUAACUUUUAAAUGAUUUUUGAAUCAAUUUUGUAGACUUAAACUAACUUGUUAAAUUGUAUUAAAUUGUGUCAUAAAAUGAAUAUAAAUUCGAAAAUGCUCCAGUAAUUUUUUUUUUGCAAAAUAACAACUCUUCAUUAAUUCAUUACCUCAUCCCCUUUAUUACAAAUUUUUGGACUGGAAAGAAGUAUGACAAAAUAAAAAAGGGCACAUGGGUUAAACUAACUAAUUUUAAUUUGAUAGGACUUUUUCUAUGCCUUUUCGAUCGGAUUCAUAAGAUAAACCUACACCCAUAUGGACAAGGAUCUGUUGUCCCAAACCCUGUCACAGAUCAAUCGAAUAAAGUCAAAUACAUAUAUGUUUACAAGAAACACAUGAAAAUCAAUGUAUAUGUACCCAAAUACCCUCGCUAGGAAUGUCUUGGUGUACCACAAAUAGUAGAUAAAAACCAGGUGGUGCAAGAAUAGGUGAACCAGGUGUGGUGACUACAACUUGGUACAGUGUUCCAUUCACAUUUGUCACACUCUUUGGCUCUAACACCAACAACCUUUGAUUCAUUGAAUAAGAGUGUGUGGUAAAAGGUGGCGAUAACAUAGUCACCAACACUAAAUUUUGAGACAAUGUUCCUUUCACCUGAAACUGAACCUCCAAUAUCUGACCAUACAUAAUUUGAGAUUGUGAAGUAGGAGACAUAAUUCUUGGUCGCAAAUUGUCAAAGCCAGGUUCUAAAUAUGAAGGAGAAAAGGCUUCCACACUUAGCUCUGUUGGAAAUAUCACGUUAGUGAAAUUGUAAUAGACGUUGGGAUUGCUUCCAGCAACUAGUACCUGUUGAAAAAGUUCAAUUUUAGGAUUGAAGACAAGAGAAAAUAAUAUUUACAAUAUUUAAUCUCUAAAUAUAAUAAAAUUAGAUUUUAAGAAAGGCUGCACUAGUUAAGAUUCAGCACUGCAUAAAAAAAGUGAAGAUUCAGUGAUAAAG